UGGUGCAUUUUUGUUGUCCUUAAAUUGAUAGUUCAUUAAAAAGUAUUUCCUAAUUGAUCUUUCUUUGAACAAUUUGAUUUGGGUGUGUUGAUAUUUUUUUCUUUUCAUUUGGAUGUGUUGUUGAUGUUCAAUUUUGUUGUGCUUUUCAAUGAUUUCAAUUUUUUGCCUUUAAUUUGGGUUUUCUGUUGGAAUCAAAUUCUGGGUUUCUUCAUUUUAGUUGAUCUUCUUUCAUAACUUUUUUCUGUUCAUGUACGAAUUUUUUGUCAGAAUCAACUUUUUGAAUUUCUUCAUUUUAGUCUUAUAUUAUUGUGGGUUUAUGUUGGAGUUUCUUCACCUCAUAAAUUUGUUUUUGGCUCAAUAUAAAAAUCUUGAGAAAAUAUAGAUUCAAGCAUGCUGUGAAGUUUUGAUUUUUCACUUUUUUUUUUAUGUUAGUAUCAAUUUGAUUUCUCUCAUCUCACUCUAGCUGGUAUGUUGUUAUUUUCACAUUGUUUUGUUCAUGAGUUCAAUCUGGGUGUUUUCAUAUUUGGAGUUUUUUUCAAUUUGAGUUAGUUUUUCAUGUUCAAUUUUCGCUUUUGCUUAAAAGACCUCGAUAAUUUAAAGCUUCAAUUUUGAUUUUGUUGUUUCAUUUUUCAAUUCGCCCAUGUUGCAUCAAUGUUUUUUUGUCAUAUGCAAUAAUUAAUUGACUUUCUUUCUGUUCAUAUGAAUUUUUGAUGCAAUUAAACGAAAAAGUAAAUUUCAGGACAACUUUGAUUCCAAGCGAACCAUUUUUUUGUGUUAGAUUGGCAUUACCUAUGGCCACCAACAUUUCAUGGGAGCAUUUUAGAAAAGAUAUAAGAAUGAAGAGGUAUUAAAACUAAUCCAUCUAUAUUUUGUAUGUUUUUGUAUAUAUGUAAAUGGUGUGUAUCAAGUCAUUGUCAACUGAGUUGGCCUUUUUACAGAAAAGGAGAACACUAGAUUAUGAGGAGAAAGUUUGUGCACAAGCUAAUCAACUUGAAAAGCCGGUUGUGAGGAUAAAAGAGGAAGUUGAAAUGAAGAAAAAUGAGAAAAGAGACUUCGUUGAGCAUAAAGGUGAAAUCGAGAAUAAAAUUAUCUAAGUUAAAUUAGAAGGUUGACAAGGAUUGGAUUGUUGUUACUUCCCAUCUAACUGAAGCAAUAGAAGGAUGAUGCAACACAAAAGAAACCCAAUUUGCCUAGAACAUAGCACUAGCCUUACAUCUCGUACACCAAAACGACUAAAGGUCCAUGUGUCCAUUUUCUCCAAGGUUUCUCCUACUUCAUUUUUGCUGCAAUGCUGUUAUUCUUAGUGCAGAUGUUUUUAAAUAUAGUUAUAUUUUUCAUGAACUUCAUAUCUUAUGUAGUUUGUAGCUUGUGGAUAAGAAAUUUUUUCUUGGAUACUUUUAAAAUAUAGGCUAGCGAUGAUGUACAUAAUGAGGAACAUCAGAUUUUUCGCUAAAAUUAUAUAUUGUUCUGGUGUGUUAUACAUUUUCA